CAGUAGCCACGGUAAUACGUAGGUCCCGAGCGUUGUCCGGAUUUAUUGGGCGUAAAGCGAGCGCAGGCGGUUAGAUAAGUCUGAAGUUAAAGGCUGUGGCUUAACCAUAGUACGCUUUGGAAACGGUUUAACUUGAGUGCAAGAGGGGAGAGUGGAAUCCCAUGUGUAGCGGUGAAAUGCGUAGAUAUAUGGAGGAACACCGGUGGCGAAAGCGGCUCUCUGGUCUGUAACUGACGCUGAGGCUCGAAAGCGUGGGGAGCGAACAGGAUUAGAGACCCCUGUAGUCCCUGUCUCUUAUACA
rnacentral:rRNA from 1 species